AUUGAACGCUGGCGGCAGGCCUAACACAUGCAAGUCGAACGAGUGGCGGACGGGUGAGUAAUGUCUGGGAAACUGCCUGAUGGAGGGGGAUAACUACUGGAAACGGUAGCUAAUACCGCAUACCAUCAGCUGUGCCCAGAUGGGAUUAGCUUGUUGGUGGGGUAACGGCUCACCAAGGCGACGAUCCCUAGCUGGUCUGCGAGGAUGACCGGCCACACGGGAACUGAGACACGGUCAAGAGGCCUACGGGAGGCAGCAGUGGGGAAUAGGGGGCAAUGGGCGCAAGCCUGAUGCAGCCAGGCCGCGUGUAUGAAGAAGGCCGUCGGGUUGUAAAGUACUUUCAGCGGGGAGGCGGUACCCGCAGAAGAAGCACCGGCUAACUCCGUGUCAGCAGCCGCGGUAAUUC
rnacentral:rRNA from 1 species